rnacentral:rRNA from 1 species
AGCGAACGCUGGCGGCAUGCUUAACACAUGCAAGUCGCACGAUCAGUUUCGGCUGGUAGUGGCGGACGGGUGAGUAUCGCGUAGGGAUUUAUCGUUGGGUGGGGGAUAACCUUGGGAAACUGGGGCUAAUACCGCAUGACGCCUGAGGGCCAAAGCUGCGGCGCCUGACGAGAAGCCUGCGUCCGAUUAGGUAGUUGGUUGGGUAAUGGCUGACCAAGCCUGCGAUCGGUAGCUGGUCUGAGAGGAUGAUCAGCCACACUGGGACUGAGACACGGCC